AUCGUGGCGGGAGACAGUGUCAGGUAGGCAGUUUGACUGGGGCGGUCGCCUCCUAAAAUGUAACGGAGGCGCCCAAAGGUUCCCUCAGAAUGGUUGGAAAUCAUUCGCAGAGUGUAAAGGUAGAAGGGAGCUUGACUGCGAGACUGACAAGUCGAGCAGGGACGAAAGUCGGGCUUAGUGAUCCGGUGGUUCCGUAUGGAAGGGCCAUCGCUCAACGGAUAAAAGCUACCCUGGGGAUAACAGGCUUAUCUCCCCCAAGAGUCCACAUCGACGGGGAGGUUUGGCACCUCGAUGUCGGCUCAUCGCAUCCUGGGGCUGUAGUCGGUCCCAAGGGUUGGGCUGUUCGCCCAUUAAAGCGGUACGCGAGCUGGGUUCAGAACGUCGUGAGACAGUUCGGUCCCUAUCCGUCGCGGGCGCAGGAAAUUUGAGAGGAGCUGUCCUUAGUACGAGAGGACCGGGAUGGACGUUCCGCUGGUGUACCAGUUGUGCCGCCAGGCGCAUCGCUGGGUAGCUAUGAACGGAAGGGAUAAACGCUGAAAGCAUCUAAGUGUGAAGCCCCCCUCGAGAUGAGAUUUCCCAUUCCUAUAUGGAAGUAAGACCCCUGAAAGAUGAUCAGGUAGAUAGGCUGGAAGUGGAAGUGCAGCGAUGCAUGGAGCGGACCAGUACUAAUCGGUCGAGGACUUAACCAA
rnacentral:rRNA from 1 species